rnacentral:snRNA from 1 species
GGAUGUGAGGGCGAUCUGGCUGUGACAUCUGUCACCCCAUUGAUCUCCAGGGUUGAUUCGGCUGAUCUGGCUGGCUAGGCGGGUGUCCCCUUCCUCCCUCACUGCUCCAUGUGCGUCUCUCCUGAAGCUGCGAGCUCGGUUGAGGAAGACGACCUUCCCCAAUAGAGGAGGACCAUUCUUUCCCCAAUAGAGGAGGACCAUUCUUUGGUCAAGGGUAUAUGAGUAGCUGCGCUCCCCUGCUAGAACCUCCAAACAAGCUCUCAAGGUAUGUAUAGGUUUUCAUUCUUAGGUAUCUUGAUGAACAAAGAGUGAUGGAAGUAGUUAGAAAUUUGAAAAUGUUUUGCAGUAGUUUCAUUA